rnacentral:rRNA from 1 species
AUACGGAGGAUCCGAGCGUUAUCCGGAUUUAUUGGGUUUAAAGGGUGCGCAGGCGGCCAUUUAAGUCAGCGGUUAAAUCGUGGGGCUCAACCCCAUUCUGCCGUUGAUACUGGGUGGCUUGAUUGCGGUCGAGGUUGGCGGAAUUCGUUGUGUAGCGGUGAAAUGCAUAGAUAUGACGAAGAACACCGAUUGCGUAGGCAGCUGACCAGAUCGCAAAUGACGCUCAUGCACGAAAGUGCGGGGAUCGAACAGGAUUAGAUACCCUGGUAGUCCGCACAGUAAACGAUGAAUACUUGUUUUCGGCGAUAUAAUGUCGGAGGUAAAGCGAAAGCGAUAAGUAUUCCACCUGGGGAGUACGCCGGCAACGGUGAAACUCAAAUGAAUUGGCGGGG